UUAACAUGCACAUACACAUACACACACACAUAUAUAUAUAUACACACGCAGCAUUAUACACAUAUUUUAGAAAUGAAUACGAGGAACUCGUCAUCUUUGUUACGUCAUUAUGUCGUAUACACCCAUGAUCAGGAAAUAAUUACCAUGCUACUUGAACGUACACAUAAGGUGGCCUAAUGGUAACAUAUUCCAACCUCGUAUAUGAUAAUAUCUACGCCUAUUUGCUAUUACUGUUGCUGCUGCUGCUGCUGCUACUGCUGCUGCUGCUGCUGCAUCACGUGUAAGAAGACAUCACGGAACCACCCUAAAUACUCGCUUCGUUAUCUCGAAUUUCGUCAAGAGAGAAAGAGAGAGAAAAAAGAAUUAUCCACGAAUGUGAUAACGGACGAAAUUAAUGAUUCGGUGAACUAAGAAAGAACAAAUGGAUGGAGUUAACAAAGAAAGGGGAGGACAAAAAAAAAAGUAAAAGGCAACGUGUUCCAAAAGUAGUCGAGCAGCUGACUUUCAAAGGUGCUCUUAAAUCUAGUUCGAGCAUUCCUGAGACCAUUUUCUAUAAAAGAUUCAAGCCGAUAGAUAGGUAGAAAGGUAGAUAGAUAGAUAGAUAGAUAGAUAGAUAGAUAGGUAGAUAGAUAAAGAUGAGAGAUAAUAAUAUCGUAAAAUUGUGAAAUAUAUAAAAGGAGAUAAGCCGAUCGACGACGAACAACGAUCAAAAAUUUAAACGGGGGAAAAAGGGGGACAAAAA
rnacentral:lncRNA from 1 species